UGCUUAUAAGGAGCCAGAGGGAAGCGUAUGUAGUGGAGAAUUGGAGCGUUUUUCUCGUGGUCACGGGUCGGGAACUUUCUCAUCUCAUCCUCUCUUCUUUUUUUUAGACACAAGGUGACGAUAAGACUCUAUCGUGGCAUAUGACGGUCAGCUGUAGUUUAUGGAAACCAAAGCAGAAGUUUAAUUUUUCUUCUUGCCAAGUCUGGGCUAGUCCCGUGUUGAAUUUUUCAUUGUGAAAGUGCCAAAAAACUGCUGACAUUGUCAACAGUGCUCA